AGGAGGACCCCCUCACCAGGUCGAGGCACUCGUCUACACGUGGAAUUGGGUACCAUCACCACUGGAGCUGACCACGGGCUGUUGGACGGCUCAAUGAAGUCGGCCUGCUCCAUCUCCUCCACGGCUCUGUCCGCUGCUUCCUGUCUUGCCAGUGCUAUGCGACGUGGUCGAAUCUUCACCGGUUGAGCAUCGCCUGUGUUGAUCUCAUGUUGCACUAGAUGAGUACAGCCCACAUCCUGUUCACUCCACGCAAAACUGUCCUUGAACUCGGUUAAGAGUUGUCUCAGCUGCUCCCCUUGUUCUGAGUUGAGGUCCUUGUUGUUCCUCCGACAGACCUCCACCGCUGCCAGAGAGGCGUCAACCCCCCCUACGGCCUGUAGGGGUGGGGGCAGAGAUGAUGGCGUGGUUGGUGACGUCUCGGUGUUGUCCCGAGGGGAUGCAGAACGGCAGCCCUUUCCACUAAACAGGACCCCGGGUGUGGACAUUUUGACAUCAGGCCCACCCCCAAAACGCAUGGUGCCUGUGCCUAGAUCUAACUGGCAGCCAAUGUCUCUGAGGAAGUCUAAGCCCAGGAUACAGGGGUCCUGCACACUAGCUACCCACACUAGGUGUUUUACUGUCUUACCCCCCACAGUCAGUGACAUCAGUUUUUUUCCUAACAUAGGAGCAGUCUCACCGGUAACAGUUCGCAGUUGCACAGCAGUUGGUUCCCAAGCCACCCACUCAGGAACAAUGUCCGGCCGCACAAUCGUCACAGUGGACCCAGUGUCCACCAAGGCUGUACACGCUGUCCCCUCCACCGCAACUGGUAUGUGACAGAAGUCGCCAGCUGUCGUGCGCCCCACCACAACAAUUCUAUUUGAAUUUCCCCUCCCUUUCCCUUGAGUGCCCUGUAGCUGCCUGGUAUGUGGGGGCGUGUCUAUGGUCCGUACCGCCCCCUCUGUACGAACCCCUUCCCGUUUCCCUGGGACUUGGUAGCUGAAGGGCAGUCACGGAGCAAAUGACCGGGCUGGCCACACCCCCAGCAGGCUAAGGGGCCAGAACGCCGUCUGCGCUGCUCAUUGGCCUGGGUCGAAGCAUGCAAAGACAUGGCACGGAUAAGCUCUGUCAUUUCAGUCGCCCACGUCGGCUUUUCCUCUCUUACCGCGCAUGGUUCCGCCGUUCUCACCACCGCGGAAUCUCCUGCUCUCCUCCCGGCAGCCUCCCCCCAGAUGACCUCGUUCCUCCUCGCUACCUCGAACGCCUCCUGCAGCGAACGUGGUCCCGCCAGCUGGGUUUGUGCUCGCAGUUCCGGAGGAGUCAAAGCCAAGAUGAAACGGUCGCGGGCUAGUUCAUCCUGCACGGUCGGCGACAUGUGACCGUAAGCUCGCCGGGUCAGGCCCUCGAUGUCGUUAACCAACGAUCUGAGCGAUUCUCCCGGUAA
ensembl:lncRNA